GCCCGGUCCCCGCCCAGCCCCCGGCUCUAGCCGGCCACUUCCGCUCUCACACCCACUUCCGCUCGCCGCCUGGACGCGCGGCCCCGCGGCGCCAUUUCCGCUUCAACCACUCGUGAACGCGAGCGCAGGCGCGCCGGAGGAAACGGAGGCUGCGCUUGCGUAUGUGUGAUGCCGCCGCCCCACCGUCUACUUUCCCACCGACCCCGCUUACGUCUACCGCCUACCAAAACCUCGCAAGAAGCUCGCCCUUGUCGUCUCCCAGCGGGCUUCUUAGCUCCCAGCUUGUUUGAUGGGGGUGCCUCUUUUUCUUUCCAGGUAUAGCUGUCCAGCGACACCAUCAUGCAUUCAUUUCUCCAACAAACAUUUUCAUGGGCUCUUGCUCUAUACUGGGGAUGUAGUGGUAAAUGAAAUGGACGAGGCCCUGCCCUCGUGGAACUUACAGUCUGGCAAAGGAAACAGACAAUAAAAUUCUCAGUUGUCUAAGGAGGCAGAGAUGCAUGGGGAGAGGAUCAGAGUAGGGAUGCGGAAGCAGCGAGUGGUCAGGAGUGUGCGUGCCAAAAGGCAGGAGACCUGUGGGACGUGGGGGCAGCUGGGGCCGGAACUUGCGCUGGAGGAACACCCCUUGCCUGCUGGGGCGAGAAGAGGACCCUUUCCUUGGGUGAAAUUCCCCAUAUUGUUAAAAGGACAAUUAAAGAAAUGAAAGAGAGGUCACCUGGGUGAAUAGGCAACUUAGAUGGGCCUCCCUGUGUUCCUGUCAUGCCUCCAAUUCUGCGUCCAGGUGUCCGGAACACAUUUUUUUCUGCCUUUGAAACCUUCCAGUACCUCUGGCAGAGAUAUACCAUACCCUCCUUGUUACCUGCGUGCGGAAUCUUAACUCAUCGUUGUGCUACAUCUGCACCUUCUGCCUUUGUGCCUUGUUUUGUGUUUUCCCUCCUCCGGGGAGAAUAUAAUAAACUUAGCUGAGUCCGUUCUACAUA